GAUGAACGCUGGCGGCGUGCCUAAUACAUGCAAGUCGAGCGAACAGACGAGGAGCUUGCGCUUCUGAUGUUAGCGGGUGACGGGUGAGUAACACGUGGAUCACCUACCUCUAAGACUUGGAUAAUUUCGGGGAACCGGAGCUAAUACUGGAUCAUAUAUUGAACCGCUGGGUUCAAGAGUUAAAGACGGUUUUGCUGUGAGUAAUAGCUGACUCCGCGCUGCAUUAGCUAGUUGGUAAGGUAACGGCUUACCAAGGCAACGAUGCGGAGCCGACCUGAGAGGGUGAUCGGCCACACUGGAACUGAGACACGGUCCAGACUCCUACGGGAGGCAGCAGUAGGGAAUCUUGCGCAAUGGGCGAAAGCUUGAUGGAGCAACACCGCGUGAGUGAUGAAGGUCUUCGGAUCGUAAAGCGCUGUUAUUAGGAAAGAAAAAAAGUGUAAGCAACUAUGAACGUAUUGACGGUACCUAAUGAAAAAGCCACGGCUAACUACGUG
rnacentral:rRNA from 1 species